GCGCUUGCUUCCCGGAAAAAAAAGUGAUAUCUAACCCUAAAGGAGCCCUGCUGUGACGGGUGCUGUGUCAUCAGAUGAAAGCAAAACAUUUUUAAAGGAAAUAUGGAAGCAAUCCAUCAUACAGGAGUAAAUGGAGAGGCAAACUGUUAAAAAUUCACACCAUGUCAUAUGGGGCAGCAAAACAAAGUGACUUCCUGGGAAAUAGGGAGCUCUCGGGUUGAACCCCCAGCUGGCCUAGUCUUGGAACACAGAGGAGCUGUAGUAAAAAGGGCAGAGCAGGCUCAUUUUGACUAUGCCUUCUAAUGUGGGAAGUGACAUCCUUCAUAUCUUCUACAAUUCUGUGAUGGCCUGUGCGAUUUUCUACUAUGUGUUGUGCUUGGCUGGUAACAGCACUUCAAGAGAGGACCACCGAAUUGACAGGCUAAGUAAAAUGGCAAGCUCAGUUAAGGAACGCUUUCUGGGUCCCCAGGAUGUAGCAGCAAAAGAGAGAAUUUAUACAAAACUAAAUUCCAUUUUGAACAAUGCUGCAGUUUCUCUCUCUGACCACUACUUUCAGCCAACAAAUUAUUCAGCAGAAGUGUGUCAAGAAACACUACUGGGGUUCCUUCAUACCAACAGCAGAACAUUUGCAUAAGGCCUCACUGCGAAUGGAACUGCACUUUUUAUCUUUAGCCAAGUUACAAGAUCUAUCGAUCAAUCGAGUAAUAAUGGCACAAUAUGAAGGAAAACAAAAGUCUGAAUUAGCAUAAGUCCUCCAAAUUCAGGGUUGUCACAUGUAAAGACUUCCUUUGUGGAUAUACUGUAUAACUGCAUAAUAAACGAGAAAUAGUUGUGACAAA